AGUUCCUUAAAUUUUCUUGCGACAUGGAGUACAGAAAGAGGGUGGAUGCUCUAGUGUUUUUCUCGUUACUUCUCCUCGGAUACUUUGCUGCUCAUGCACAUGGGAAGUGUCAUGUCACAAAUGAUGUCGGUGUUUCUACUCCAGCUAAAGAAGGAAUUAUGCAAGGAAACGGAGCACGAUGCGCUAAAGGGUUUCCUCCAUGCAAAGAUAACAAGUGCUACUGCUGCAUUGGGGGGUGAACUCAUGCUCGGUACUCUACGCGGGCUGAGUGUAGUCAUGCCUGCUUCUAA